rnacentral:rRNA from 1 species
UACAGAGGGGGCAAGCGUUAUUCGGAAUUAUUGGGCGUAAAGGGCGCGUAGGCGGCGUUGCAAGUGGAAGGUGAAAUCUCUCGGCUCAACCGAUAAACGUCGGCUGAUACUGCCGUUCUUGAGGGAUGCAGAGGAGACUGGAAUUCCCGGUGUAGCGGUGAAAUGUGUAGAGAUCGGGAGGAACACCGGUGGCGAAGGCGGGUCUCUGGGCCGAUAUCGACGCUGAGGAGCGAAAGCGUGGGGAGCGAACAGG